GUGUCAGCCGCCGCGGUAAUACGGGGGGGGCAAGCGUUGUUCGGAAUUACUGGGCGUAAAGGGCUCGUAGGUGGCCAACUAAGUCGGACGUGAAAUCCCUCGGCUUAACCGGGGAAUGGCAUCCGAUACUGGAUGGCUUGAGUUUGGGAGAGGGACGCGGAAUUCCAGGUGUAGCGGUGAAAUGCGUAGAUAUCUGGAGGAACACCGGUGGCGAAGGCGGCGUCCUGGACCAAUACUGACACUGAGGAGCGAAAGCCAGGGGAGCAAACGGGAUUAGAAACCCCCGUAGUCC
rnacentral:rRNA from 1 species